rnacentral:misc_RNA from 1 species
CUGGGUCGUGACCCAUAGGUUGGGAACCCGUGUGCUAGAGGAUGGUGCCAUUGAGCUGUAGAAACAGAAUAUAGUAUAAUGUAAUGUUAGUAUAGUGUGUAUAGUAUAAUGUAGGACUUUUCAUCCUACAGAUACUAGAGGAGCUUUUUUAUGAUUAUUACGAGUCCGACUAGGCCCGUAAUGGGAUAUAUAGGGGUUAGCGAUGAGUUUCAAUGUAUCCAGGUCAAAAUAUCUGUAAAAAUUUCAGGAUUUGACCUAGGUUUCCACAAAGUAGGUGGGUGCCUUUACUAUCUAUGUAAUCUGGCCAUCAAUAAGAGCAUUAAAAACACUUUUGUUCAUCUUUAAUAAUAAUAUAUAUUAUCUACAGGAUGGUUAUAAUUAAAUUAAUCCUUAUCAGAACCCAGUUCUAAUGAAUAUACAUUAAUGAAACUUGUUUUCUACAGUAACUUGCAUAACAUUACAACAUUACUUGUUCUUGAAGUGCCAUAUUUUUGUCUAUUGGUGAAAAUUUGAACUAAUUUUUGUUUCCCAGAGAUUUAUUGUGAAUAGCACAUAUACGAAGUUUCAUUGGCACAGGUCCGAGUAUGGUCGGUUUAAUAACUGUCAUAUAUAAGAUAUAAGCGUUGUUAUCAAAAUUAACUGUUUUGUAGAUUUAUGUAAAGACAGUUGUCUUUUUCUCAUUUUAAAGCAAACUUUAGUUAUUUGCUGCAUUUUUUAAAUCAAAUAUUAAGAAUUAAAACUUACUUUCACGUAGUUUCAAACCUCGGAGAAAUCUGCAAAUUUAAAGAACAGUGUUUAGUAAAUGACGCUCAUACGGAAUGUAUGUACUCCAGUAAUCCGGAAGUAUCUCAUCACGUCUGCAGAUGUGCCACCGGUUAUGAGAAAGGAUAUUCUAACGGGAAAGAAAAAUGCAUUCGAGUUUAUCGGACGACCGUGUACGAGAAGAAUGCCAAAAUUUUACACUUUUUUGGAAAUGGUGACAGUGUCCCAAUUAUAAUGAGCUGUCUGGCUGCCUUUUUGGCACUGUUUGCUUGUUUUGCCGGAAUAUUUCAAUUCCUAAGGCGAAAGCAAACUAGCAGAAGCAGCCUGAGAUGUGGAGAUCCCCAGCAUCCUCAGGAGGUUGUGACGCUUAACGGCUCGACCCCGACACAGCCGUAUCCGUCGUCCGACAUGUCUCCGUCUCGUACGCCAGAUUCGCUAGAAUCUGUUGAUUUAAGUUUGAAUUUAUGUUACUGGUUUAAUUCAGAAUUUUAUUAUUAUAUUUUGAGAAGCUUAUUUUGAACGUUUUGAUUGAAUUUGCACCAAACUCGACAAUUGCCGAUUCGUUCAUUCCAGUGGAAGCUUGCCAGAACGACUUUCCACCAAGUUACGAAGAAGUCGUUAACAGCACAAAAGUAACAACGAUCCAAGAAGAGGAGGAGGAUGAAGACGAAAUCGAGAACGACAGAGACGUUGCAACACCGCGAGGUCAAAAUGCAAUCCGACAGAACAUAUAAUUUCGUGACUACGUCGAAAGUAUGUAUAAGCCAAAUAUGUUAAUUUCUAGCUGACUUCGGAAACUUCAGGUCAGAGGUCAUUAUAAUUUAAACGACUAAAAUGCAUAUUUAUCGUCAUUUAUAUCGGUAUUAACAAAAGGAGCUUUUCUAGUUUCCUAGUUGAUUUUAAAAUCAUAAAGAAAAAAAAAACAACUCAGUACACUCAAAAUACACAGUAACACAAUUGAGUACGACUAAACAAGUCUUAAAUUACCACACCGGAAUUCACUGACAC